UUACUAAUGGAUUGUACCAAAGUAGAAAGAAAAAGAAGCUUAACAGACACAUCAGCAAUAGUAACAACAGAAAUUACAUGAUCAAAUGGAAAGACAACUCACUACCAAAAUGCAAGUAUGUCUGCUCUUGACAGAGUGAGACUCAGUCUCAAAAAAAAAAAGAAAAAGAAAAAGAAAAUAAAAGGAAAGGAAAAAAAAAGAAACAAAUUACCAAAAAUAUCAACAUUUGAAUAAACUGAAAAAUAAACAGUGGAAGGAAAAAGGAACAAGCUUGCAGAGGAUGUUUAAAGUGACACAUUACGGCAUCUAGCUUGGAUAGUUCCCAAAUGAUGUGUUUUAUGAAGCAGAAGACUUCCCCUCUCCACAAGAGGCGGGGCUGGGAGAAACUGCUAUGUUGGGUGGCAUAAAUUUUUCUGUAUUGCACCUUUUAGUAAAACAUCCAGCGAAAGCUGCCUUAACUCUACAAACUUUUGGAGAUGCAGAAGGGAAGGUAGAUGAUACCAGGGGAUGAACAGAGAACAGAAGGGAGACAUGGAGAUGCCAGAAAGCUAUGCGAGAGUGUCUGGCAGGUCAUAUUAAGGAUUUUAAUUUUCAUCCCAAGUGCAAGGGGAUGUUGUGGAAAUACUUUAAGUAAGACUAUGACAGCUGAAAUUGGGUGUGUGCAGGUUGCAGUGAGUACUCAGAGGAGGGAAAAGUGAAAGUGGGGGUGUCAGGGAAGGCUUCCUGGGAGAAGAGAGCCUGAACUAACUGUAGAAAGGCGAGAAGUUAGCCAGAUGUCCAAGGGUUACAAGAGUAGGGGUGGAAUGAGGGAAGCAGGAACAGGAAGAAUGAUAUUUCAGACAGAAAGUGAUUUGGAUCUGAGGAUAGCAGGUGUGCAAAUGUGCAUGCCCCAUUCAGAUCUGCCAGGAAGAUUAGGAUCUUCAUUCUCCUGCCUCAGCCUCCCCAGUAGCUGGGACUACAAGUGCCUGCCACCACGCCUGGCUAAUUUUUUGUAUUUUUAGUAGAGACGGUGUUUCACCGUGUUAGCCAGGAUGGCCUCGAUUCCCUAACCUCGUGAUCCACCCUCCUCGGCCUCCCAAAGUGCUGGGAUUACAGGUAUGAGCCACCACGCCCCGCCGUAGGGUCUUUAAUAAGAGGUGGAGAGGGGUGCCUUCCUCUGCUUACCUCUUCCUGGGGGCUGGAUGUGGUGGACAUGAUGGCAGCACCCCAGCAGCCAGCUUGGACCAUGUGGACGAAGGCCACACUUAGGAAUGGCGGAGAGGAAAGCUCAGACACGCAAGGGUCUCUCACACUUUACCGGCACUGCAUGGGCCACCUCCAGGAUUUUACAUGAGAAAAUCCAUCAUGUGUACGUUCUAAGCCACCAUUAAACUGGGUUUUUAGGCUACUAUAAAGCCAAACCUAAUCAUAUCUGAUAAAGCACCUUUGUGUCCCCUUUGCAUGGGACAUAGGAAAUUCUGGAUCCCCCUCAAGCUACUUGGAGGCCAUGGGGAGCCAGGAAUGUGACCUCUGGCUCAAAUAUCCUGCUACGCAGCUGCCUCCAAGUGUGGCUGCAGAGCGGAUUUCUGUGCCAUAUCUGAAGUGUCCUCCUGUGGAAUUUGUCUUAGACCAGGAGUUGGCAAAUUAUGGGCUGGCUACCUGUGCUGUAGAUAAAAGUGUUAAUGGAACACAGCCACGCUCCUUCAUUUAGGCCUGCCUCAGCCUCCCAAAGUGCUGGGAUUCCAGAUUCGAGAUAGUGAAAUGAACUUUCUAGACGGGGUUUCGCCGUGUUGCCCAGGCUGAUCUCGAACUCCUGACCUCAGGUAAUCCGCCCGCCUUGGCCUCCCAGCAAAUGCAAAUGUUUAAAAAGGAAACUUGAGGAACCAUGGAAAUAAAACAACACAUACCAAACCUAAAAACGAUAAAGGAAGAAAACAAAGAAUCAAGGAGAACUAAAAACGGUAAAGACAAAACUGCUAAAACCCACCAAUAGCUCCUGGGGCUGAAGUGAGGGACUCUUUAAGACCAGAAGUCAAAGUCACUGCUGCUAGCAGGCUGCCAUGUGGGUGUUUCACCCCAAUUCCAAAGCAUCUGGUGCUGCUUUAGGGCGCUGGGCAUGGGUAGCUUGAGGAGCCAGCCUCCUGGGCACUGUUUUGUGAUGGGGGCUCCAUUCAGAGGACUAUUUGACUCUUGUAGCUCAUUAACUAGUUUUCAACUGCUUUGCUCCUCUCCCAAACCCUCCAGGUGGGAAUGAAGACACUUAUGCUAACAAGACAUCUCCAGUUUCUCAGAAAGAACUGGUACCGGGUAGGGCCACCGAAGCCCACCUGGGGGCAUGGCAGAUGUCUGUUCACGGUGGCUCAUUUCAUCUGGCUCAGGGUUUAUGACCAAACUGACAGGAUGUUCCAGGGACAGGAGCUGUGGAGCCACUUCAAGAGGCUGGUGGUGGGGGUCCCGUGGGCAUUUAUAGGGCUCAAGAUAGAGGAAAAGGCAGCCGAGAUCCUGGGAAUC
rnacentral:lncRNA from 1 species